UACGUAGGGUGCUAGCGUUGCUCGGAAUUAUUGGGCGUAAAGGGCGCGUAGGCGGUUAGUUUAGUCAGAGGUAAAAGCCCAGGGCUCAACCUUGGAACUGCCUUUGAUACUGGCUAUCUUGAGUUCGGGAGAGGAGAGUGGAAUUCCCGGUGUAGCGGUGAAGUGCGCAGAUAUCGGGAAGAACACCCGUGGCGAAGGCGGCUCUCUGGAACGCAACUGACGCUGAGACGCGAAAGCGUGGGGAGCAAACAGG
rnacentral:rRNA from 1 species